GACGAACGCUGGCGGCGUGCUUAACACAUGCAAGUCGAACGGAAAGGCCCUGCUUUUGUGGGGUGCUCGAGUGGCGAACGGGUGAGUAACACGUGAGUAACCUGCCCUUGACUUUGGGAUAACUUCAGGAAACUGGGGCUAAUACCGGAUAGGAGCUCCUGCUGCAUGGUGGGGGUUGGAAAGUUUCGGCGGUUGGGGAUGGACUCGCGGCUUAUCAGCUUGUUGGUGGGGUAGUGGCUUACCAAGGCUUUGACGGGUAGCCGGCCUGAGAGGGUGACCGGCCACAUUGGGACUGAGAUACGGCCCAGACUCCUACGGGAGGAAGAAGUGGGGAAUAUUGAACAAUGGGCGGAAGCCUGAUGCAGCAACGCCGCGUGCGGGAUGACGGCCUUCGGGUUGUAAACCGCUUUCGCCUGUGACGAAGCGUGAGUGACGGUAAUGGGUAAAGAAGCACCGGCUAACUACGUG
rnacentral:rRNA from 1 species